GCUAUGGUGGCCAAGUAGUUAGACAGUCCGCCUAGAAAGCGGGAGGUCGUGGGUUCAAUCCCCGGUCAAGUCAUACA